rnacentral:rRNA from 1 species
AAUCAACGCUGGCGGCGUGCCUCAGACAUGCAAGUCGAACGAUUAAGACUCUCUUCGGAGAGUGUAUAAAGUGGCGCACGGGUGAGUAACACGUAGGUAAUGUACCGUAGGGUGGGGAAUAACUUAGGGAAACUUAAGCUAAUACCGCAUAAUGCAGCGGCUCGACAUCGAGACAGUUGUUAAAGGAGUAAUCCGCCAUAUGAGCAGCCUGCGGCAGAUUAGCUAGUUGGUAAGGUAAUGGCUUACCAAGGCUACGAUCUGUAACCGACCUGAGAGGGUGGUCGGUCACACUGACACUGAAUAACGGGUCAGACUCCUACGGGAGGCAGCAGUCGGGAAUUUUGGGCAAUGGGCGAAAGCCUGACCCAGCAACGCCGCGUGAAGGAUGAAGUCUCUCGGGAUGUAAACUCCGUAAGAAUAGGAAGAAUAAAUGACGGUACUAUUUGUAAGGUCCGGCUAACUACGUGCCAGCAGCCGCGGUAAUACGUAGGGACCAAGCGUUGUUCGGAUUUACUGGGCGUAAAGGGCGCGUAGGCGGCGUGGUAAGUCACUUGUGAAAUCUCCGAGCUUAACUCGGAACGGUCAAGUGAUACUGCUGUGCUAGAGUACAGAAGGGGCAAUCGGAAUUCUUGGUGUAGCGGUGAAAUGCGUAGAUAUCAAGAGGAACACCUGAGGUGAAGACGGGUUGCUGGGCUGAUACUGACGCUGAGGCGCGAAAGCUAGGGUAGCAAACGGGAUUAGAUACCCCGGUAGUCCUAGCCCUAAACGAUGUAUGCUUGGUGUCUGGAGUAUUAAUUCUCCGGGUGCCGUCGCUAACGCUUUUAGCAUACCGCCUGGGGAGUACGCACGCAAGUGUG